rnacentral:rRNA from 1 species
AGAGUUUGAUCAUGGCUCAGGACGAACGCUGGCGGCGUGCCUAACACAUGCAAGUGGAGCGACGAACCAGGGCUUGCCCUGGAGCAAAGCCGCGAACGGGUGAGUAACACGUGAGUAACCUGCCCCGAAGAUUGGGACAACCCGAGGAAACUCGGGCUAAUACCGAAUGAAUCCUCUGGACUCAAGUCCAGCGGGAAAAGGAAGCUUCGGCCUCCGCUUCGGGAGGGGCUCGCGGCCCAUUAGCUAGUUGGUGAGGUAACGGCUCACAAAGGCAACGAUGGGUAGCUGGUCUGAGAGGACGAUCAGCCACACUGGGACUGAGACACGGCCCAGACUCCUACGGGAGGCAGCAGUGGGGAAUCUUGCGCAAUGCGCGAAAGCGUGACGCAGCAACGCCGCGUGGGGGAAGAAGGCCUUCGGGUUGUAAACCCCUUUCAGGAGGGACGAAGGUGUGACGGUGAACAGCCGAUCGCACUGACGGUACCUCCAGAAGAGCC